AAAAUCCCCAACAAAACCCAUAAACAAUAACCCCUAAACAAUAAGGGAGGGAAGGGAGGGUGGCUGCCGUCACCGACGGCACUGUGCUACACCCUCCCUCCCCAACCCACCUAUCCUGGAGGUGGCUCCGGUGCAGGACGUGGACCCUGCUCCACCCUCGGCGUCGCCCACUUUGGUGGAGCCGAUAGCUGCACCAGGCAGACGGACCCCUCGAGCCGGGCCGGAGGACAGGAGGGCCCUUCGGGCUGGGCCGGGGAACAGGAGGGCCCCUCGGGCUGGGCCGGGGGGCAGGAGGGCCCCUCGGGCUGGGCCGGGGAGCAGGAGGGCCCCUCGGGCUGGGCCGGGGAGCAGGAGGGCCCCUCGGGCUGGGCCGGGGAGCAGGAGGACCCCUCGGGCUGGGCCGGGGAGCAGGAGGACCCCUCGGGCUGGGCCGGAGAGCAGGAGGGCCCCUCGGGCUGGGCCGGAGAGCAGGCGGGCCCCUCGGGCUGGGCCGGAAGGCAUGCGGACCACUCGGGCUGGGCCGGAAGGCAUGCGGACCACUCGGGCUGGGCCGGAAGGCAUGCGGGCCACUCGGGCUGGGCCGGAAGGCAUGCGGGCCACUCGGGCUGGGCCGGAAGGCAUGCGGGCCACUCGGGCUGGGCCGGAAGGCAUGCGGGCCACUCGGGCUGGGCCGGAGGGCAGGAGGACCACUCGGGCUGGACCGGAGGGCAGGAGGACCACUCGGGCUGGACCGGAGGGCAGGAGGACCACUCGGGCUGGACCGGAGGGCAGGAGGAACACUCGGGCUGGACCGGAGGGCAGGAGGACCACUCGGGCUGAUCCUGACAGGCCGGGCACCCUGGCAGAUCAGGGCAGGUGGGCACCUCUGGCAGAACCGGGCAGUCUGGCCACCCUGGCAGUUCAGGGCAGUCUGGCCACCCUGGCAGUUCAGGGCAGUCUGGCCACCCUGGCAGAACAGGGCAGUCCGGCCACUCUGGCAGAACAGGGCAGUCCGGCCACUCUGGCAGAACAGGGCAGUCCGGCCACUCUGGCAGAACAGGGCAGUCCGGCCACUCCGGCAGUUCAGGGCAGUCCGGCCACUCCGGCAGUUCAGGGCAGUCCGGCCACUCCGGCAGUUCAGGGCAGUCUGGCCACUCCGGCAGUUCAGGGCAGUCUGGCCACUCCGGCAGUUCAGGGCAGUC
rnacentral:lncRNA from 1 species